rnacentral:sRNA from 1 species
GCCGGGCGUUGUGGUGGGCGCCUAUGGUCCCAGCUACUUGGGAGGCUGAGGUAAGAGGAUCGCCUGAGCCCAGGAGUUGGAGGUUGCUGUGACGCCAUGGCACUCUACCAAGGGUGAUAAAGUGAGACCCUGUCUCUAAAAAAAAAAAAAAGUUCACAAUAUUAAUAACUGCCUUUUUUUUUAGACAGGGUCUCACUAUGUUGCCCUUGGUAGAGUGUCGUGGCAUCACAGCUCAUAGCAACCUCAAACUCUUGGGCUUAAGUGAUUCUCUUGC